UUUAUGCGCAGCCCUUGCAAACGCAGACGCAGAAACGUCAACCAAACGAAACUACAAAACAAAGUGCAAUCAAUCGGGAAAAAACUUACAACGUGUCCAUACUGUUUUACUCUUUCGCGAUAAUUAUUUACAAAUAUGAUGGAUUUUCAACUUAAAUUACGACUUAAAAUGAUAAUGGAGCUGCAACUAUUACGGGGGGAGUAUUUUAUACAAAAUUCUCUCUAAAAAAAUCUGAGUGCCUUGUGAUUUUACUUUCAGGAGCUGCGUCGUGGGAUUAACCAAUUAAGCGAAUCUCCCGAGCGUUGAACACCCACUAUCUUCAGUAAAUGGAUACUAAUAAUUGGGUUGUUUAGCUAUAUCUGUUUUUUAUGUCAUCUGAAAGAGCUGAAUUUUCUGAGCAAAACGUGAUUUUCAAAAAUUUUCUAUCGUCAUUCAAUUUUUAAAUCACGAAAUAAAACUGCUCAAAAUCGGUUCGAACACGCAAAAGUUGGAGUGUGCGUAACCAGAUCAUUUAUGAGCGAAAUUAGCGCAUUUACUGAUUAAAAUUGGAACCAGUACAACGCAUGUGCGUUUGACAUAACGCAUUUGAUGCUCUAGCGUAUUUUGAAUGUAUUGCGCAGCUCCAAACCAUUACACUUAUAAAGCAUCAGCCGAUGUUCAGAAGGUUGGCAUCGUUAAAACAGUGCAACCAGCAAUCAAUACUGAUAAGUUGGGUACUGACUCCAUUGAGGAAAUUAUUGUCUGAUCGAUUCACUUUCAUGAAUCAGGACAUUUGAAAACAUCAUUCAAUCAUUAACAAUAAACAAAAACAUGAGAUUAGUCCAAAACAUUUUGCAUUUAAUUAUGACUCUGGUUUCAUUCACAUGCAUUCGGUUCUGCGUUACUGGCACCAGCGUCAUUAACUUCCGCGGCAACAAGGCUCACUAUUGGCUGUAUCGGUUGCUGACGAUUUUUAGGGAUGCACGAGCCGUUGAUACGCACCGGCUCGCGAAAGUAAAGAACGGUUUUUCGAGCGCCUCGAAACUGAUCGUCCGAAGCCGAAGUUUACCGAGACAAUACGAUUUUUGUGUAUAUGAUUCAUAUUCUUAUUUUGAUCUCUGUCAAUGUAUUCCUUGUACAAGAUUUGCGUUAUGUGUAUCACGCAUUGGUUGUGCGAAGUCAGAGCAAAUUCUGUGCGAAUUGAAAGAAAACAUUGGAAGAUUAAAGCUUGAACUUUUGCGUGAAAUCGCUACAAUGACAGUUCGCCCAUAUACCAACUGUCAUUGUAGCGGUUUGGAGCGAUUUUUUAUUUUUCAUUUAAAAAUCGAAGGACAAUGAUAUUAAAUUUUUAAAAAUCAGGUUUUGCUCAGAAAAUUUCACUCUUUUACCUGAUAUAUAAAAAUCAUGAAUCCGUGAGUAGCUAAACAACCCAAUUACAAAACUAGCUUAAUGGAAAUAUUCCCGUUAAAAAAUUUUGACAGAUACAUUUCUACGCAUGUAUCAACUGAAUCGGGUACGUAUGUGAUCGACCUACUAAUCAACUAAUUUCGUCGAAUCGGAUAUGUUGACUGAUAUCUUCGCCUAAUAAAUCGAAAAAGUAAAUUGGUUAACGUAGUGUUACCAAGGAGGCAAAGGAACUGGCAACUUUGCUCGCCGUUAAUAAACGGCUAAUGCCGUGAUCGCUGAUCGGGGAUCAGCUUAUCUCUUUGGCUUUGAGAAGACAACGACAGUUUAUAAGGUGACGUAGGUUAGCUUGAAGUAAUUGAUUGUUAAAUUAAUUGAAUAAUUAAGAGUUCAUCCUGCAGCAGGUAAAUAAAUAACGUAUUUACCGUUCUUAUUAUUACAUACCGUACAUUUCGAUAAAGCUAGCUUAUAAAGCACUUAUAAAACCAAUACAGUUUUUCGGAUACACGUGUGUAGGGCUCACUGAUUUCUUUGAAGCUUUUUCUAUAAUUAAACUGCUACAAACAUCAGUGUGGGCUCUUACUCUACAAUCCGAAACAACAUUUCUUCAAAGAAAUCACUAUGGCCAGUGAACCUAACUUGAGACGGCUCCGGAACAGGGAGGUAAUUCGAGUUGCAGGGCAUGUAAGAGAACCGAUUCUGCAGAAACGAUGGUGGCAUGUGAUCGGUGUGACUUUUGGUGGCACUUUUCGUGUGCCGGAGUUACCUCGUCUGUUCAGACAAAGGAAUGGUUGUGUUCAUUGUGCACUCGCUCUCGUGCCAGUUCUCUGUCUGGGCUUUCAGCUACAUCAUCUCGUGCGGCUUUAUACGAACUAAAUCUAAAGCGUAUCGAGGAACAAAAACGACUGGAGAUGAAGCGUCUGGACAUCGAAGAAAAACAUCUGAAUGAAAAGUAUCGUCUUCUAGAGUACACUUUACAGGAAGAAAAUCGUAGUAUUCACAGUCAAAAAAGUAUUGGCCAUUCAAAGGUUGCAGAGUGGAUGGCAAAUUUGCCUAUUUCGACGAAUGAAUCAAACACAGCAAAUAAUAAAACGGUUAUCGAAGAGGAAGGCGCAGUCGGACGUGUUGAUAUACAUGAGCGACAGUCCCAGCAAGACGCUCCAUCGAAACAGCCGAAUCCUGACAAUAAAAAAGUGCGAAACGAAAAUCAUUCGUUGAUAAACUUACCACAUCCCGGAGGUAAAAAAAAUCCCAGUACGAGUAAUGCCAUAAACGAAUUUCAGCUGAGCAAGGCACUCUUACAGCAGCUGCACAAGUUUCAGACGGAACCGUCAGGUGAUGAUGAAGAGAAGAUGAGAAGGUUGAUAGAGCGGUAUAGAAACUGUCAGCUACAAGCAAAUUCUAAAGGACAGCCACACGAGCAGUGGACUGCUAGAGUUUCGACUGGCGCUGUUCCUAAAAAUGCGCCCACUAAAUACACAGUCGACGCGAUCGGCCCGAUAGGACAAACAGACAACCCUUGCUCGUGCAUCUCACUGUGCCACUCCCAAUAACAGGAUAGGAGGCGAUAUAUUUUCUGAUUCAAACGAUACUGAUGCGACAGAAGUAGAUGAGGCAAGAUCAGAUGCCAGUGAAACUGGCAUGAUGAGUACGCUAUCGAAGCAAAGGUUUCCGUUGGAUAAAAUGCGACAGAGUAAGGCCUCCGGUCAAGCACUGGAUCCCCCGCAGUUGUACUCUUCUGAAGCUGAACAGCGACUGACACAUCAGUAAUUGGCAGCCAGGCAGGUUCUACCACGUAGCUAACCGGUGUUUUCCGGCAAUCCGGCGGAUUGGCCGGUUUUCAUUAGCAACUACAAUUACACCACCGAGGCGUGUGGCUAUAGCGAAGUUGAAAACAUGAUUCGUUUGCAACAGUGUCUCAAAAGACCUGCAUGGGAAUCAGUACGAAGCAGACGUCCGUGCCACAUGUCAUCGAGGCACUUCUAAUGCGAUACGGGAGAUCGGAGAUGUUAAUUAAAUCAUUAAUAAUAAAAGUAAAAAAUGCUCCUUCGCCUAGGUCUGAUAAGUUAGAAACUAUCAUAGAAUUUGGUAUGCUCGUUCAGACGUUGCAUGACCAUAUCGUUGCGUCCAACUUAUUGGACCAUAUUGCCAAUCCGACUUUGCUGAAAGAUUUAGUAAUAAAAUUACUUGCCGAAUACAAAAUGCGGUGGGCCGCGUACCGAAGAAACUUUGUUGCAGCUAACAUAGGAACGUUUAGCGAAUUUAUGGAUGAGAUCGUUAACGAUGCUUAUAGCGUAUCCUGUCCGACAAGUUUUGAUAAAUCUGAGAAGCGGGAGGGAGCGCGAUCAAUCGGAAAGAGCAACCGGUAAUUCAAUCAACAGUGCGGGCUCUUACUCUACAAUCCGAAACAACACGUAGGGUGCAGAUUUAGUCGUUUGAUAAAUCAGUAAUUAUUUUUUUACAUUAUCACGUGUCAUUGUGAACGAUCAAUCAAUCCUCAGGCGGAAUAGACUCUUGUGGUGUUUACAUAAAUACUGUCGAUUUACUAAAAAGUGUCUUUAGAAACCUAAAUGGCGGAAUAAGAAAAAACUUAAUCGAUUUGAAGAAUAUGACAAAAUUUAUCGAAGUUGUUUGAAUAGUUCAACAAGCUCAGAGGAAAGCGAUAGUUAGGAAAGGGCGAUAUUAAACCCAGCUCCAGAACAACGAGAAGAAUACUCGGAGCAGAUUCUACAACAAAACGACGAUAACGAUAUUGGAAGUAGAGAAAUGAACCUUAAUAGCAGAGAUGACGAAGACAUCGGAAGAGAUAGUAUAGCACAGACUAUUACUUUGCCUGUUAUGUUUAAAAAUGUGAAAUCCAGCUUUGAAAAGGAACAUAUUCCGAAGACUACUCACUCACUUUUCUCAGAGAUGGCUGACCCGAUUUCCACAAAAUGAAUGUCAACUAAUAAGUCUAGCUGCCUCGUAACACACUAUUGAAUUUUAUUGUAAUCGAUAUGAAACUUUGUCUGUAAAGCACCGAAAUGUGAAAAUCACGAAACUUCAUUAUCUCAGUAACUACACAA